CCGGGGACCGCAGACUCCCGGUAUUCCCAAGACGGACUCCGUCCAAGUUCUGC
rnacentral:ncRNA from 1 species